UUUUUUCUUUUUCUUUUUUUUUUUUUUUUUUUUUUUGGCCACUUUUCUACUCUCUUGAUCAUUUCAAUACCAACAGGAGAGUAGGAGAGGCAAGAAGAGAUGCUAUCAUAAUCCCCCUGUUUUUUCUAGUGGUAUUUAUAAGAGGCUUUAGGGGAAAGAGCUGCAUAUACCACAGCUGAAAUCAGGGCUUUGAAUACCCCCCUCCCCUCUUCCUCUCCUCUCUCCUCUCUCCUCUCUCCUCUCCUCCUCUCCCCUCUCCUCUCCUCUCCUCUCCCCUCUCCUCCUCUCUUUUCUCUCCUCUCUCUCCCCUCUCCUCUCCUCUCUCCUCCUUCCCUCUCUUCUCCUCUCCCUUCUCCCCUCUCCACAGACAUUCAAUUCAAGGCAACGACUAUAGCCACCAUCUAUUAUUUCCCAAACAAGAGUGUUAGGCAUUUUGAGAACUACGAGAGGACUAAGGGUCUGAGCCCUGCUCUCAGCGGGGGUUCUCAUCUCUUGAGGGGUGCGAGCUCUGCAUACGUGAAACAAUUAUGAACCCUGAAGGUGGUAAGUCGUUAGCCAACGUUCCAAUAAGUAGAAGGAACGUAUUCUAGAAACCCUGUUCUCCAGCCAUGUCACCUUCCUCAGCCCCGGCUACAGCAGUCUGACAAGCAGCCCAUAGUUUUGUCCCCCCCCCCCCGCCCCGUGACAUACUUAGCUGGCACCAGGAGUGGCAAUUGCACGAGGUGCCAAAGUGGAGGUGCAGAUGAGCACCCCCCCACCGUGUUUUACUGGCAGAGAUGCUCUGAGGGCCCGAGAGUCCAGCUGCCGAAGGAACGACCUUGCUUUCGGGCUCCGAAGCCCUGCUCCCUGGGGGCCCGUCAGGCGGAGUUCUCUACCACAGUGGGUGACCCUUGUCGGCCCUCUGUGACAGUCUCCGGUGACCCCCAGGCGCUGGGAGAGACAGCAAGAACUAGAAAACCAGUUUCGCGGAGGCACGCAGGCGGUGUUUUUGGACAAUCCCGUAUGAUGAUAGCAACCUCGUGUAUGGGGAGGGCCUCGGGGUCUCUCUUGUGUCUCUUCGGAAUCAGAAAACCUUGAUUGUCACCACGGUGACAAAUGACGCCCUGUGACGUGUGCGUGUGUGGAGAAGGCUUGCAACCACAGGACCCCCUUGCCCCUUGGGGACACACAAUCCGCUGUAGUUAACGAGCUUCGGAGGCAUCUGAAAGACCAGCUCCUCGCGAGACAGUGAAGGGAGCGUUUCCUCCACUCCUUGGAGGUACAGUUCCUCCGAGUUUCUUACCUGCGACUUGGAUGGGGACAGAAGUCCCUAGGCAAAGGCCGGGAGCACCCGGGCAGGCGGCUGUCUCGUUUGGAAAGGGAAGCUGGUUGAUACCCACAGAGGUUUCCCAUAAAGUGUCCUAUUGGGACCCAGACAUGAGAUGUUCCGUGUCCCAGUGCGGUACCCACAGCUGAGCUGGUGUUGUGACUUCCAGGACACACCACCUGUUUAUGGCAGUCCCUGCUGCUCACCUGUCUCGGUUAUGAAAACGAGGAGGCCCUGCCCCCCAGGAGUGAAGGAAACAGGGGCCUCCUGCCCCAUCUGCCACCACUGAGCCACGUCGCCUAGGCAAGCCACCAAAACUCUUUGAACCUCACUUUGUUCUCAAGUAAAAUGAGGCAUACAGGUUACGUGCUAACUCCCUCCUAAACUCUAAAGUUAAAUUAUCCUAGGACUUAUAUAGUCAGGGGAAAAUGGAUGUUUCUGAGAGCAGGGCUUCCCAGAGAAUGCUCCAGAAGGCCAGAGGAGGAGUCCCUGCUCAGAAACAUGUGGGGAGUGCUAGGUUUACUGAUGUAGGACUUCUCGGAACCUUUCUUGAGUAUCCUUUUUUGAUUAUCUUUAUUUAUUUAUUUUAUAGGAUCUUUUAACUUACAACAUAUGACGUGCUCCUUGUAAAUAGAAAACUCAUAGGUUUAUAAAAUAAAUAUCGAUAAUCUCACCUUCUCUUCUCCAGACCCAUCCCAGUGGUAGCAGACACAAGGUUUUGUAGGCCUGUGCAUCCUUGGAAAGCUGUUCUAGAUCAUGACUCCUGAGGAGGAGGAUAGAGCAAGAAUGUGUCUCAGACGGACCCUUUUUCACUGAACACCUCACAGGCCUCUGCCUGGUGGGAACACUGUUCUGUUCUACAUACUGAGGGAAAUCUUGAACCAGAGUGCAGAACAGCUCUUGACUGAGUAGAAUUCUUUUACCAAAAUGAUAAGGAGCCUACACAGGUCAGAGGCCACAGAUGUACCACUAUUCAGUGUCCAGGUCACAGGAUGUUUUCACUCUCGAUAAGAUUUCGGAGAAUCUCUUUAAUCACCUACAAACCUUAAGUAGCUUCUCUGCAGGAGGCUUCUAGAACCCCAUUAGGGUUCCUGCCAGCUUGGGCUGAUACCUCACCUGUGUGUCCCCAGAGUCAUCAUGAGGAUGGUGAAGAUGAGGUGACCCUAAAUCAUCCCUGCCCCCCAGAAAAGGCUGGCAUAGGAUGACACUAUUACCUGUAUGACCCUGGUUCCAGCAAGAGCCCAGUUGAACUUGUAGAUGAAUAAAAUGAGACAAAAGGUGACACUGUAAUAAUCUAAGACCCAACACCUGGAUCAGGUCAUGGUCUGAUCCCGUGUUCUGCCUCAUAUGUACCAAAUACGUUUUCACGGACACUGUUUUAUUUAAUCCGCAUAAAAACGACUUUGUGAAUUCAGCAGUAUUAUCCCCAUAUUGCUGAGUUCACGUCUGCAAGGAAUGCAAAACCUUGACUCAGUAACCUUCUGACUGGAAGCCAAGUGGUCUUUUCCUUGUAAUCACAGUGGUCUCUCUAAUUUUUUUCCUUCAAGUUCCACAGCCUAGUCCUUAGGGACUGAGGGAAUGAGCAUGAUGGAGUGCAGAGGUGACCGGAUGCAGGUGGCACCCCUGGGAUCUGGUCCAGAUUGCAGAGUAACUGUGUGGCUUGGGGCCUAAAUGAUCUCUAAUGGGUUCCCUCUAUCAACUUUCUUCUUCACAUCGUCUGUUUGACCAGCAGUAACAACAAAACCCCUUACAAUAAAAUCCAGGUAAAAGCAGUUUUUAAGCAAUGUCUAGGACUGUAUUUAACCCAAACUAUAAAACACCUGCCCUGGCCCAUCCUUCUGAAGACUCACAAGUCGUGUCGUCCACACUUGGACUUGCAUGACUUGUGAAGUUCAAAUGGCUUUCAAAAUGCACUCAACUCUGCGUAGUGAAACCAAGGUUGGGAAGGACACAUGGAGAAAAUUCUCAAUAUCCAAGGUUAAGCUGACAGAUUGUUUGUAUCAAAGCAGCACACAGGGCUCCAUUCCAGAAUAGCACAAACUCUGCAUUCCGGUAUAUUGUCCAAUUGGUGUAAACCAGGUGAAAUUACACACCAAGACCCUUUAUAAACUUCAAUGCAA